AUGCUGCAAUACAAUGCUCAAGCUUGUGAUAUCCUCUUCAAUGGAUUGUUCCCCGAAGAAUUCAACAAAAUCAGCCGCCUUGAGAAUGCAAAGGAAAUUUGGGAUACUUUGAUUGAUAUGCACGAAGGUACCGACUCUGUCAAGGAAUCCAAAUUGGAUAUGCUUCAAAGUCAACUUCACAAGUUCAAAAUGAAGGAUGGUGAAGGUGUCGCUGAAAUGUACUCUAGGCUUGCUCUCAUCACAAAUGAGAUUGCCGGCUUAAGAAGUGAGGAGAUGACUGAUAGAUUCAUCAUCAAGAAGAUCCUAAGAGCCUUGGAUGGAAAAUAUGAUACCGUGUGCACAUUGAUGAUCAAAUGA
rnacentral:rRNA from 1 species